GAGGAAUAUUGGUCAAUGGGCGCAAGCCUGAACCAGCCAUCCCGCGUGCGGGAAGACGGCGCUAUGCGUUGUAAACUGCUUUUCCAGGGGGAGAAACUUGCGCACGUGUUGCGCAAUUGACGGUACCCUGGGAAUAAGCAUCGGCUAACUCCGUGCCAGCAGCCGCGGUAAUACGGAGGAUGCGAGCGUUAUCCGGAUUCAUUGGGUUUAAAGGGUGCGUAGGCGGACUAUUAAGUCAGUGGUGAAAUCCUGCAGCUUAACUGCAGAACUGCCAUUGAUACUGAUAGCCUUGAGUUUGGUUAAGGUAGGCGGAAUGUGUAAUGUAGCGGUGAAAUGCUUAGAUAUUACACAGAACACCAAUUGCGUAGGCAGCUUACUGAGCCGACACUGACGCUGAGGCACGAAAGCGUGGGGAUCGAACAG
rnacentral:rRNA from 1 species